rnacentral:rRNA from 1 species
UACGUAGGGGGCUAGCGUUGUCCGGAUUUAUUGGGCGUAAAGAGCGUGUAGGCGGCCAGGUAGGUCUGCUGUGAAAACUCGAGGCUCAACCUCGAGACGUCGGCGGAAACCAUCUGGCUAGAGUCCGGAAGAGGAGAGUGGAAUUCCUGGUGUAGCGGUGAAAUGCGCAGAUAUCUGGAGGAACACCGGUGGCGAAGGCGGCAUCCUGGACCGGUAUUGACGCUGAGGCGCGAAAGCCAGGGGAGCAAACGGG